UUUUGGGAGCAUACCAGUACCAACAAUUUAAAACCAACAGCUGACUGUCAUUAAAAACAAGAUAGUACGCUAUAGUCAAUCUACUCGAAAAUCAGAUACCAAUUACUCUGCCAGGACGUGCGAACGAAAGUACAUUUGAUUUUUUUUUGGCAAAUCAGUGGGGAACUAUGUACACUCAAUGACCCAAACUCACCCGAAACAAGAGAGGAAGAUGGUUUUGGCAAGCCGAAUCUUAUAUACCCUUGCAGUAGUACAAUUUUAAUCAAAUUAAAACCAAUGUUAUAUAUUUAAAUUAAUAAUGUGAUGUGUGCGGAAUUA